rnacentral:rRNA from 1 species
UGGGGAAUAUUGGACAAUGGGCGGAAGCCUGAUCCAGCAACGCCGCGUGAGGGAUGACGGCCUUCGGGUUGUAAACCUCUUUCGCCUGCGACGAAGCGAAAGUGACGGUAGCAGGUAAAGAAGCACCGGCCAACUACGUGCCAGCAGCCGCGGUAAUACGUAGGGUGCGAGCGUUGUCCGGAAUUAUUGGGCGUAAAGGGCUCGUAGGCGGUUUGUCGCGUCGGGAGUGAAAACACACAGCUUAACUGUGUGCUUGCUUUCGAUACGGGCAGACUAGAGGUAUGCAGGGGAGAACGGAAUUCCUGGUGUAGCGGUGAAAUGCGCAGAUAUCAGGAGGAACACCGGUGGCGAAGGCGGUUCUCUGGGCAUUACCUGACGCUGAGGAGCGAAAGUGUGGGGAGCGAACAGG